rnacentral:lncRNA from 1 species
UUUUAUUUUCCUUUUCAAUCCAAAUAUCUUCUGAUUCUAAUAAACUCUAGAAGAAAUGUCCAGACUUUUGAAGAUAUGGUUCUUAUUGGUAUUAAUGAAUCACGCUGAGAUUACACACAGUCAGAGCUCUGAAGCUCUCCUCGAUAUACUCCAUUUUCAGAGUUCUAACGUCUGGACAGCAGAUACGCUUACAAAAGUCAUGGCAUAUUUUCAUACCCAAGAAGUUAUGUUUACUCUUAGCAGUUUACAGGUUUGUACCAUUUAAAAGACAUGAGAAUUCUUAUUAAAAAAAGAGAAUGAAAAAGGCAACCUAUAUCUGUAGCCGAAACUAGGUGAUUAGUAACAGAGAAAACGAAUAGGUCUUUAUAACUUAAUAUGAAAUAGUAAUAGGAUCUUUUUUUUCUAAGACUGAAGCUAUAUACAAAGGCUAAAUAAUAAGAAAUAAGACCCUUUUGCUUCUCCUCUGAUGGAAAGGAAAAACUAGUUUUCAGGCUCAGUGUUUGUUUCUGAGUUGAGUGUAUAUGCAUGCUAUCUUCCGUUAAAUGGCAAGAUUCUCCCAGACUAUGACGUGGCUGUAGUUUGCAUUGCUUCUGGUGGAGUGGGAGGCUCUGGG